GAUGAACGCUGACAGAAUGCUUAACACAUGCAAGUCUACUUGAAUUUGGGUUUUUUAACUUAGAUUUGGGUGGCGGACGGGUGAGUAACGCGUAAGGAACUUGCCUCACAGUUAGGGACAACAUUUGGAAACGAAUGCUAAUACCUGAUAUUAUGAAUAUAUGGCAUCAUAUAAUUAUGAAAGCUAUAAGCGCUGUGAGAGAGCUUUGCGUCCCAUUAGCUAGUUGGAGAGGUAACGGCUCACCAAGGCGAUGAUGGGUAGCCGGCCUGAGAGGGUGAACGGCCACAAGGGGACUGAGACACGGCCCUUACUCCUACGGGAGGCAGCAGUGGGGAAUAUUGGACAAUGGACCAAGAGUCUGAUCCAGCAAUUCUGUGUGCACGAUGACGUUUUUCGGAAUGUAAAGUGCUUUCAGUUGGGAAGAAAAAAAUGACGGUACCAACAGAAGAAGUGACGGCUAAAUACGUG
rnacentral:rRNA from 1 species